rnacentral:lncRNA from 1 species
GAUAAUUGUCAAUUUCUAGCCAGUGAUGAUUGGUGAGAGAUUUUACUUGGAUUUGUUCUGCAUGUACAUUAAGUCCAUAGAUUUCUACAGCUUGAAUACUUGUAAUUGCGCCAGCACCACCAUGUGGGCCAUUUGAAGCUAUAAUAUAAUCUCACAGGCACAUUAAGAUAAACAGAAAACAAAGUUAUUCUCUACUUUAGAGAAAGUAUGAAAUCACAUAAGAUAUACAAAUAGAUUACCUGUGCAACAUCAGUUGAAAUUGAAAUAUUCUACUACAUUCAGUAUAAUAUUUAUAAAGAACUACUCUUUAUUCAGUUAUAUUAAGGGAAAGUGCUCAAGUUUUUAUCUUAAACAAACAAAAUCCAAAUGCGGGUUGAAAACUAAUGAUCUAUAAUCUAUAGUAUACUUGCUCCAAAUUUGUCAAUGUCAAACAUACUACACAAUUAAAAAUACUUCUUACAUGACCCUUCUUGUUUAAUUAACCGCUAAAACAACUAAUACACAACUCUCGAGAGAACAUUUCAACUAGUUUAAAACAUUAAAAUUCAGUAUUACUUCAAAAAUUAAUGGAUUAAAUCCCAAUUUCUUUCAUGGAUGAACAAAUGCUAUAUAAAUCUUAAGCAAUCUGUAUAUUUCUUAUCUUGCAUAGGAUUGGAUGCAACAACAAUAGGUUUUCCAUAAUAGUAUAGCAAAUUUAUUCUUCCACACAGAACUCCGAAGCCUGCAAAAAAAAAAUUGCCAUUUUGAAUUAAAAUUUCGUUUAUAGAAAGCAUAAAGGGAUUGAGAAUUGAGAAUUAUGAGAGGACAAUGAAGUUUGACCAAACAAGACUCGACCUCCUUGUGUGUUUUCACUAUCAGCUUUCAAUACCAAAGCAUUGUUUGAAACAUCCAAAACAAGAGAGAGUGAGCAACUUAUUAUUGAUGUUGGUAUCAGAUCUGGAAGUUUAUUUGGCAUUAAAUAGCUUGUAUAUGUAUCUCAAACCAUAACCCUAGGUCGCCAACAUUACGGUUCCAGAAGAUAUUAUCUACAUCAUCGAACUUUCCGGUGUCGACACAUAAAUCGUAUAAUGAGAGAAAAGGAAAAGGGUUUACCAAGUUGUCUUUCGCGCUCGAGAGGAGGAAGAGCACAAGGAAGCUCGUGCGACGAUGGCGACGACUCCGACUUUGACCGUGUUAGGGGAAUCGGCGGGAUUAUUGACGACAUUAGUCAACUAUGGAAGGUUCAAAAGUGGGUAAAAGACGGGGUUUCGUAGGUUGGGAGAAAUGAGGAGAAAGACGAUUUGCGUCGUUGAUUAAUGUUGG